rnacentral:rRNA from 1 species
CUGGUUGAUCCUGCCAGUAGUCAUAUGCUUGUCUCAAAGAUUAAGCCAUGCAUGUCUCAGUCCAAGCCGUGUUUACAUGGCGAGACCGCGGACGGCUCAUUAAAUCAGUCGUGGUCCAUAUGGGCUAGAGUUUAUCUUACUUGGAUAACUGUGGUAAUUCCAGAGCUAAUACAUGCAACCUAUAUCCUGACGACGUGGGGGCGCUUGCGUCUCCGCACUGACGGAUGCUUUUAUUAGACCAAACCGCUGAGUGCGUGGCUCGCGCCACGUAUGACUCGUUUAAUGGUGACUCUGAAUAACCUUUCUGACAAGCGAACGUACCCCUCGUUGGGACGGCGCUGCCACUUUCGAGUGUCUGCCUUAUCAGCUAUCAACCGUUCGUUAUGUGCGACCGAUGGCUUUGACGGGUAACGGGGAAUCAGAGUUCGAUUCCGGAGAGGCAGCCUGAGAGACGGCUACCACGUCCAAGGACGGCAGCAGGCACGCAAAUUACCCAAUCCCAGCUCCUGGGGGAGGUAGUGACGAAAUCUAACGAUGCGGGCGCCCUUUCUGGGGCCCCGCAAUCGGAAUGGCCACUUUCUAAACACCUGUUGAGAACCUACUGAAGGGCAAGUCUGGUGCCAGCAGCCGCGGUAAUUC